rnacentral:lncRNA from 1 species
AUGAAAUACAAAAAAAAGCAAAAAAUUAAUAAAAGGACGUUUGUAAUGCAUGAAGUAUUUGUAACCCCUCUGCCUUUGUUGAGACACACACAAAGACAAUCAAAAGCACAUUUAGAGAGAAUGGAAGGAUUUCUUAAAAAAAAAAAAGAGAUGCUGGAUUGCAAUGAUAUGGUGAAAUCACCAUGGGCUGGUUCAGAUACACUAAAUAGCAACACAAGGCAUACGGUUUGAUUAUAUAGGCUGCUAGUCUGGAUCUGGUAAUUUAUUAUUAUUUUUUUUUUUUAGCUAUUAAAAAAGGUAAUGACUGAAAACUGCCAAGAAAAAAAUUAUUUGUAUAAAUAUUGAUUGGUGUGUAAAAACACUCUAAAGGAUCUACAGAUUGCUUCUAUCAUCUCUCUCUCUAUCCCAUCCUUUCACUAAAGCACACCACCGAGAUUUACUCAUUUUUGUAACUGUCCACACUUUCCUGUUUACAACAUCUUAUUGCAAAAUAAAAACCUUUUAUGUAUUGAAAAAAACAAAUCUUUCCUGAUGUUAUCAUCUCCCUUGCACACAUAGGAAUGAAGAACUGAAGCUAUUUAGUGGUUAUCAGCGGGGGGUGAGGGGUGGAGGGGUGAGCACUCUGCACAAAUGUGGCUUUCAGUAAAGGCCUUUCACAAAUAGAAACUCUCUGUGCUGUUAUUUCCUAUUAUAUCCUGAGUGUCAGUUCAACAUCCUUAAUUAUCAUUAUCCAACAGAAUAAAAAAAAAUUACAUGAUGGGAAAAGAUCCAAUGUAUUUUGUGAUCUCUGUACAAUUGCACGCAGGAGACAAUGAGAAAGCUUCAGAAAUAAAAGCGUUUUUUUAAUCCUUUUGCUUGCAUUUAAAAAAAAUCCCAAACAUCUUAAUUACAUAUUGGAAAACCAGUCUCUUUAAAGAGUUCAGUCAGCCUUUGUUGAUUGGCAGAAAUAUCUGUGUGACAUCCCAUCAUGCUCAUCUCCACAGGAGGGUGGCAAUCCCCCCCAAAAAAAGAUAAUAUAAGGCAAAAGAGCAAAAAAACAUUAGUGGAGAGAACAAUGGUUUAAUAACUUGAGAAAGAAUAUGAAAAGCAGAAAAAAUAGAUGAUUCUGUCCUCUUCCUCAUGACUAGCUUCUGAAUUUUUCUCUGAGCUACGCAACGAAAGCUUUGCUGGCUCCCAGAGCAGUGGUUUCUUUUUAAAAUGCUUGUUUUCUUAAGUGGAGUCCUUUGAAGUCCUUUUAUUUGCCAGUUUCUUAGUUUGAAGAUGGGCCUUCAUUGAUUGAUUCAGCGAACUCUUUGGAGUGAAGUGUUUCCCACUGUAGGCACUAGGAAGAACC